CCUACGGGUGGCAGCAGUGAGGAAUAUUGGUCAAUGGGCGGGAGCCUGAACCAGCCAAGUCGCGUGAGGGAAGACGGUCCUAUGGAUUGUAAACCUCUUUAGGCGGGGAGCAAUGCCGGGCACGUGUGCCCGGAGGGAGAGUACCCGCAGAAUAAGCAUCGGCUAACUCCGUGCCAGCAGCCGCGGUAAUACGGAGGAUGCGAGCGUUAUCCGGAUUUAUGGGGUUUAAGGGGUGCGUAGGCGGAUUUUUAAGUUAGCGGUAAAAUGUCCGGGCUCAACCCGGGCCGGCCGUUGAAACUGGGGAGCUUGAGUGGGCGAGAGGUAUGCGGAAGGCGUGGUGUAGCGGUGAAAUGCAUAGAUAUCACGCAGAACACCGAUUGCGAAGGCAGCAUACCGGCGCCCGACUGACGCUGAGGCACGAAAGCGUGGGGAUCGAACAGGAUUAGAUACCCGAGUAGUC
rnacentral:rRNA from 1 species